AGUGAACGCUGGCGGUAGGCCUAACACAUGCAAGUCGAACGGCAGCACAGUAAGAGCUUGCUCUUACGGGUGGCGAGUGGCGGACGGGUGAGGAAUACAUCGGAAUCUACUUUUUCGUGGGGGAUAACGUAGGGAAACUUACGCUAAUACCGCAUACGACCUACGGGUGAAAGCAGGGGAUCUUCGGACCUUGCGCGAUUGAAUGAGCCGAUGUCGGAUUAGCUAGUUGGCGGGGUAAAGGCCCACCAAGGCGACGAUCCGUAGCUGGUCUGAGAGGAUGAUCAGCACACUGGAACUGAGACACGGUCCAGACUCCUACGGGAGGCAGCAGUGGGGAAUAUUGGACAAUGGGCGCAAGCCUGAUCCAGCCAUACCGCGUGGGUGGAGAAGGCCUUCGGGUUGUAAAGCCCUUUUGUUGGGAAAGAAAAGCAGCAGGUUAAUACCCCGCUGUUCUGACGGUACCCAAAGAAUAAGCACCGGCUAACUUCGUG
rnacentral:rRNA from 1 species